GGGCCCGUAGCUCAGCUUGGAUAGAGCAUCGGCCUUCUAAGCCGGGGGUCGGGGGUUCAAGUCCCCCCGGGCCCG
rnacentral:tRNA from 1 species